UUUCAUUCCCUAUAAGAUAAACUCCAUUGCUAGUACUGUUUAAACAAGUUUGAAUAUGAUAUGAAUCGAUUAAUGGGGAAAUACUUUUCCUCUGGUUAUUAAAUGAUACUCUAUGACAAAAGGAAGGAAUUUCUUAUAGAAAAAAUACCUUUACAGAAUGCCCAUUCAUAUUCAUAAAGUUCUUUCCCAAACCCUAUUCUCUCUUUCUCCUACAUGCUUACCAGAACCAGUACUGCCAACCUGCUUUAUCCCAACCCAAGAAAGCUUUCAUUCUCUCGCAAAACAAUACCUACACAAAAAAAUAAUUCAGCCUUUAUUUUAAUUUAAUAAAGAAAUCUGUGUUCUCUAUGACGAACUACAGAAGCACAAAAAAGAUACUAUCGUGGGUUUCAUCAUAAUUUUCUUACCAUGUGGGGUGAGAGAAAGAGAUAGAUGAUUGCACGCAAUACCUUGGAUUAUCCUCCUCAUUUCAACUGCAAUCAUCAUGUCUUCCUCAUCUCAUGGCUUCCUCUUCUUCUCUUCUUCAUCAUCAUCUCUACUUGAGUUAGUAGUUGUUGUUGUAGUAGUGAAAAUCUCAUCCUCUCACUCAUCAUCAUUACUUCCUCAUCUUUACCUCCUUUAUCACCCUCCACCACAACCACAAGCACCACCAACUCCAAGAACUCCAUUAACAACAACAAGAACAAGACAAAGAACUACACGAAAGAAACAAGAAAAAGAGGAGAUCAUGAGAAGAAGAUCAAGAUGGGUUCUUUAUCAUGAAUAGGAAGUAAAAUCUUUCUUGUUGAGGGGAAUUAAGCAUCUCGGUCCGGUUGUUUGCUCGAUCACCAAGCAACAAAUGAUUUAUAGAAAUCACCACUACUACUACUGUCUACUACUACAUAUAUAUUUUGUGUGUAGUUUCUUUUAAUUUUGUGCUUAUAGAUAUAUGUGUAUCUCAUCAUAUUUUUCUUAUAAUUGUUUUCUGCUGUUUUCAGUUUUCGUUAGUAUUUCUCAGUUAAAAUAUUUUACAUAUUAUCCUUAGUCAGCUAGUCAGCUAGCUAGCUGAUAUAUAUGAUACUAUCUGUGCUAAUUGUGUUUACUGUAUUUUAUUUGAAGAAAUCUAAUUAGUUUAGUUACAGAUCGAUCGCAAAUCCUUUUGCUGAUGCAUGAUGACCUAAUUUCGUAGUCUUGUUAUAUUUUGUCUAGCUAUGUAUGUGUUUCAAGAUCAACUCUCUCUUCCUGAUAUUACAUGAUUAAGGUGGUUACUAUAUAGCUAGUGUAUAGUGCAAGUUUCUUUUGAUCCACAUGAAAUAUGCAACUGCAGUUUCUUCACUUACUCAAGUACUAAUACUUUUCAUGUAGCUCGCGAGAAACCUUCAUACCUGCAGCUUAAUAUUAUUUGAGUUGGUUUAGCAUGCAUGAAUAUUACUACUGGUGCUUUUGAUGAAUUAGAGUUUCAUCGCAAGCUCAAGGUGCAUAUAUAUAUACCUAGAGUCUGAGGAUCUUGAGGAAACCAUUACAGUUGUUUUUUCCCUACAGUGUGAUCACGUUUAUCAUUUAAAUUUGAUUUUCGUAUAGGAAUACACAACCCUAUCUAGCUCAUCAUGAUUUCCUGCUCACUAGCUAGUCAGCUUCCUCUUCAGAAAACAAUUAUGAAUAUAUAAUUAUAUAUGUUCUUGUGAUCAUCAAA